rnacentral:rRNA from 1 species
AGAGCGAACGCUGGCGGCAGGCCUAACACAUGCAAGUCGAGCGCCCCGCAAGGGGAGCGGCAGACGGGAGAGUAACACGUGGGAACGUACCCUUCAGUUCGGAACAACCCAGGGAAACUUGGGCUAAUACCGAAUACGUCCGUAAGGAGAAAGAUUUAUCGCUGAAGGAUCGGCCCGCGUCUGAUUAGCUUGUUGGUGAGGUAACGGCUCACCAAGGCUACGAUCAGUAGCUGGUCUGAGAGGAUGAUCAGCCUCACUGGGACUGAGACACGGCCCAGACUCCUACGGGAGGCAGCAGUGGGGAAUAUUGGACAAUGGGCGCAAGCCUGAUCCAGCCAUGCCGCGUGGAUGAUGAAGGCCUUAGGGUUGUAAAGUCCUUUCGACGGGGAAGAUAAUGACGGUACCCGUAGAAGAACGCCCCGGCUAACUUCGCGCCAGCAGCCGC